rnacentral:rRNA from 1 species
UCGAUUUGGAGUUUGUUGCCUAGAGUGAUGGGCUCCGAAGCUAACGCGAUAAAUCGACCGCCUGGGGAGUACGGCCGCAAGGUUAAAACUCAAAUGAAUUGACGGGGGCCCGCACAAGCGGUGGAGCAUGUGGUUUAAUUCGAUGCAACGCGAAGAACCUUACCUGGUCUUGACAUCCACAGAAUCUUGCAGAGGUGCGGGAGUGCCUUCGGGAACUGUGAGACAGGUGCUGCAUGGCUGUCGUCAGCUCGUGUUGUGAAAUGUUGGGUUAAGUCCCGCAACGAGCGCAACCCUUAUCCUUUGUUGCCAUCGGUUAGGCCGGGAACUCAAAGGAGACUGCCGUUGAUAAAGCGGAGGAAGGUGGGGACGACGUCAAGUCAUCAUGGCCCUUACGACCAGGGCUACACACGUGCUACAAUGGCGUAUACAAAGGGAGGCGACCUCGCGAGAGCAAGCGGACCUCCUAAAGUACGUCUAAGUCCGGAUUGGAGUCUGCAACUCGACUCCAUGAAGUCGGAAUCGCUAGUAAUCGUGAAUCAGAAUGUCACGGUGAAUACGUUCCCGGGCCU